GGGGCCUCCACCGACACCUGCUUCUUCCCUCACCUCGCAGCCUUCCACACCUGUUGAUCUGACCUCUGCCCCGCUGCCGCCAAGGAGUAACCUAAGGCUUUUGGCCUGAUUCGAGCUCACUCCGUCUAAACCUCUAAAUGCGGCAUCUUUAUCCGGAAUUCAGCUCGUCCCAAACCCCACGUGGUGUAGCUCUGCUUGUGUUUUUGAAUCCCGGGGCCUCUUUGAAUCAGAAGCCCUUUGUAUAGAGAUAAGUAUCCUUUAGGCCAGAAUCAGCCUCCAUUUUUUUCGCAGUCCCAUUUCCUACCCUUAAUACUUUCUUCUGAUUUUAAAGCCAUUUGAUAGAGAAGGGACAGGGAACAGAACCUUCGCCCCCCGCCUGAGCAGCUGGUAGACUAGAUAUCUUCCAAACAUUAUCUCAUUUACUUCCCUGGAGUUACAAAUAGGUAGAUUUCAUGUCCGUUGAGGGGUGAGAAAGCUGAAACUUUGAGACUUAAGAAUCCUGGCCGAGGUCAGCCUCCUCCGAAGCUUCAUCUCUUGCCACCACUUUCUGGUGCACACCUAGGACAGAUUUCAAUCCCUGAGAUCCCAGGAUGAAACCUAUGUUUGCCAAAUACCAGCUACUGUGCCAGAAGAGAUCAUGGAACCAGGUGUGGAAACCUGCUUGAGAAGAGGAGCCAAAACAUCAUAGUUGAACCGUCCUGGAAUAGAAUGCGUAUGAGAGUUCCAGUUCCUCUGCUUCCUCACCAACAGUU
rnacentral:lncRNA from 1 species